CCUACGGGUGGCAGCAGUAGGGAAUCUUCCGCAAUGGGCGAAAGCCUGACGGAGCGACGCCGCGUGCGUGAUGAAGGUCUUCGGAUCGUAAACCGCUGUUGUAAGGGAAGAAAGUGCGUAAUAGUAACUGUUCACGUUUCGACGGUACCUUAUCAGAAAGCCACGGCUAACUACGUGCCAGCAGCCGCGGUAAUACGUAGGUGGCAAGCGUUAUCCGGAUUUAUUGGGCGUAAAGGGAUGGCAGGCGGUCUUUUAAGUCUGAGGUGAAAGCCUUAGGCUUAACCUGAGUACUGCUUUGGAAACUGGGAGACUGGAGUGAGGAAGAGGAAAGUGGAAUUCUAAGUGAAGCGGUGAAAUGCGUAGAUAUAAGGAAGAACACCAGCGGCGAAAGCGGUUUUCUGGAUAGACACUGACGCUGAGGAACGAAAGCGUGGGGAGCAAACAGGAUUAGAUACCCGAGUAGUC
rnacentral:rRNA from 1 species